rnacentral:lncRNA from 1 species
GUUUCACACUUUGAGAAGGGUCAGGGUUGACCUUAAUGCUAUCAUUUUCCAGUACAUGAUAGAUACUUUUCGCUUUAACCGAUUGGGUCAGGCAUGGGAAAAAUUUCCAUAUGGCAUGUUGUUAUCCAAGAUAUUCAUGUUUCAUAAUUUAAAUCUGGCUACACAAGUCCGUGAUAGAGACUGUGGUCCUGCAAUUAUAUUUGACUAUAAUAUUGAUGAUAUCUUUUAUUCAAGACUUACACCAACAUCGGGCGAGUCAGAACCAUUCCUUACAAUAAUAGUUGAAGAUGAUGAUAUGGUUGAAGACAUAAACUUAGAUAAUUUAGAUGAGUCAGAUAGUUCAGAUAAUAUGGAUAUAUCUGAUGAUUCAGAGGAUGAUUCAGACGAUGAUUCAGACGAUGGUUCAGAUGAUGGUUUAGAUGGUGUAUGGGA